rnacentral:rRNA from 1 species
UGCGCAGGCGGUUGUGUAAGACAGGUGUGAAAUCCCCGGGCUUAACCUGGGAACUGCGCUUGUGACUGCACGACUAGAGUAUGGCAGGAGGGGGGGUGGAAUUCCACGUGUAGCAGUGAAAUGCGUAGAGAUGUGGAGGAACACCGAUGGCGAAGGCAGCCCCCUGGGCCAAUACUGACGCUCAUGCACGAAAGCGUGGGGAGCAAACA